UUAAGCACUGAAGGUGUGGAGCCGAAGGGAAACCAAGUCUGAACAGGGCGAAAGAGUCAGUCGGAGUAGACCCGAAACCGGGUGAUCUAUCCAUGUCCAGGUUGAAGUUGCCGUAAAAGGCAAUGGAGGACCGAACCCACAUCCGUUGAAAAGGGUGGGGAUGAGGUGUGGAUAGGGGAGAAAUUCCAAUCGAACCCGGAGAUAGCUGGUUCUCCUCGAAAUAGCUUUAGGGCUAGCCUCAUGCAAGUCUUACGGAGGUAGAGCACUGAAUUCCUAAGGGGGCGUCAAAGCUUACCAAGGGAUAUCAAACUCCGAAUGCCGUGUAGAUGGUGCAUGGGAGUCAGACUAUCCGAGAUAAGUUGGGUAGUCAAAAGGGAAAGAGCCCAGACCUACAGCUAAGGUCCCAAAAUGUGUGUUAAGUGGAAAAGGAUGUGGGAUUUCGAAGACAACUAGGAUGUUGGCUUAGAAGCAGCCAUCCAUUAAAAGAGUGCGUAAUAGCUCACUAGUCGAGAGGUCCUGCGCCGAAAAUGUCCGGGGCUGAAACACACUACCGAAGCUUAGGAAUUGACGAAUGUCAAUUGGUAGAGGAGCAUUCUUAACGGGGCGAAGCUGUACCGGAAGGAGCAGUGGACUGUUAAGAAGAGAGAAUGCCGGAAUGAGUAGCGAGAGGAAGGUGAGAAUCCUUCCGGCCGAAUAUCUAAGGUUUCCAGAGUAAAGCUGAUCUGCUCUGGGUAAGUCGGGGCCUAAGGCGAGGUCGAAAGACGUAGUCGAUGGAUAACAGGUAAAGAUUCCUGUACUGUAUCAUAACAGAACUGUGGGGACGCAGACAGAGAGCAUAAGCCGGGAAUGGAAAGACCGGUACAAGCGAGGUAGGAGUGCAUCAGGCAAAUCCGGUGCACAAUCUGAAGACGUGAUGUGGGGCGUAAAGCCGGAAGUAUGUGAGCUGGCUGCCAAGAAAAGCCGCUAUUGUUUAUGAUAUACCCGUACCGUAAACCGACACAGGUGGAUGAGGAGAGAAUCCUAAGGCCGACGGGAGAAGCAUUGUUAAGGAACUCGGCAAAAUGACUCCGUAACUUCGGGAGAAGGAGUGCCAUGUAAAAGUGGCCGCAGAGAAUUGGCCCAAGCAACUGUUUAGCAAAAACACAGGUCUAUGCAAAACCGAAAGGUGAGGUAUAUGGGCUGACGCCUGCCCGGUGCUGGAAGGUUAAGGGGAGAGGUUAGCCGUAAGGCGAAGCUUUGAACUUAAGCCCCAGUAAACGGCGGCCGUAACUAUAACGGUCCUAAGGUAGCGAAAUUCCUUGUCGGGUAAGUUCCGACCCGCACGAAAGGCGUAAUGAUUUGGGCACUGUCUCAACAAUGCACCCGGUGAAAUUGAAAUACCAGUGAAGAUGCUGGUUACCUGCGCCAGGACGGAAAGACCCCAUGGAGCUUUACUCCAGCUUGAUACUGGGAUUCGAUAUUGCAUGUACAGGAUAGGUGGGAGACUGAGAACUGAUGACGCCAGUUGUCAGGGAGUCACUGUUGGGAUACCACCCUUGUAGUAUUGGAUUUCUAACCAGCAGCCGUGAACCGGCUGGGGGACAAUGUCAGGUGGGGAGUUUGACUGGGGCGGUCGCCUCCGAAAGGGUAUCGGAGGCGCUCAAAGGUUCCCUCAGAAUGGUUGGAAACCAUUCGAAGAGUGCAAAGGCAGAAGGGAGCUUGACUGCGACACCGACGGGUGGAGCAGGUACGAAAGUAGGACUUAGUGAUCCGGUGGUAUAAAGUGGGAUUGCCAUCGCUCAACGGAUAAAAGCUACCCUGGGGAUAACAGGCUUAUCACUCCCAAGAGUUCACAUCGACGGAGUGGUUUGGCACCUCGAUGUCGGCUCAUCGCAUCCUGGGGCUGAAGUAGGUCCCAAGGGUUGGGCUGUUCGCCCAUUAAAGCGGUACGCGAGCUGGGUUCAGAACGUCGUGAGACAGUUCGGUCCCUAUCCGGCGCAGGCGGAGGAUAUUUGAGAGGAGCUGUCCUUAGUACGAGAGGACCGGGAUGGACGGACCGCUGGUGUACCGGUUGAGCUGCUAAGCUCAUGGCCGGGUAGCCAAGUCUGGCAGGGAUAAACGCUGAAGGCAUCUAAGCGUGAAGCCCCCCUCAAGAUGAGAUAUCCCAUUCGAAAGAAGUAAGACCCCUUGAAGACGACGAGGUAGAUAGGGCAGAGGUGGAAGUGCAGUAAUGUACGGAGUUGACUGUUACUAAUCGGUCGAGGGCUUAUCCA
rnacentral:rRNA from 1 species